rnacentral:lncRNA from 1 species
GAGGUUAGUUAGCUAUAUAUGUCGGUCCAGACUUUUGACAUCUCUGAAUUUGUAAGUGUCUCAAUUACAAUAAACGUAUCACUUCACUAUGCUCAUUUCGUCCGGUUGUCAGAUAACAUUAUAGCCACUGUAGUGAUGCGGUGCCUAACCUGCAAGAGACAGUGUAUGCAAUUCAAGCUGAAUGGUAUAUGCUUCUGUUAAGUUAUUAAUCCCUCCGACAAUUUUUGCAGGGAAAUUCAGAUAUCAAAUUGUUACCACAAAGGAGGAGAAAAAGCACAUUGCCAGACUGGGAUGACCAUUUUCAUGCUGAUUUUUGGCAUUGUUCAGAUAGCAACGUCGCAGAUACCAGAUUUUCACAACAUGGCGUGGUUGUCUGUUGUCGCUGCAUUAAUGUCAUUUUGUUACGCAACCAUCGGAUUGGGCCUUGGAUUUUCUAAUGUGAUUGGUAAAGCCUUGACUCUUCUCUUUCUCCUUCUUGUUUUUUUCAUCUGAAGUUCCAAAAAUAGAUCGAAGAGUCUUGUGUAUUUUGACCUUAGUCCCCAUUGGUGUUGGAUCUGUAGAAAAUAAGAGUAUCAAGGGAAGCAUUGUUGGAAUACCAACAAGGAGUUCUGCUCAGAAGAUAUGGCUAGUUUUCCAGGCACUCGGAGACAUUGCUUUUGCCUAUCCUUAUUCGAUAAUUCUCCUCGAGAUACAGGUAUUUUGUAAUGAUAGUCCACAAAUUUUAUAUGUCUAAUGUAUACUAGUACUUGCAUUUCUUAAUAUAUCAUUAGUGAGAUAUAAAUGGAUCCAUCUCUUAGAAUUUGUCCGGAUACUAGAUCAUCGAAUAUUUAUUUAUAUAGCAGAUACCGACUUGUUUGGGGCUGAGGCAUAGUUGCUGUUGUAUAGUUUUUCUAAAAUUUGCUCAAGAUCAAUUCGGAGCAUAAAUAUCAACCUAGCUAAUGUUUCUGAAACCAAACAAAACGUAAUACUAACAAGCUAGUUGGAAUAUGCAUCACAAAGACUACUGAUGUUUCUGUAAUAAUAACGCUCUUCUUUUUUAUGGAGUGAAGGAUACACUAAAAUCGCCUCCACCAGAAAACCGGACCAUGAAGAAGGCGUCCAUAACCGCAAUAGUCAUCACCACUUUCUUCUAUCUGUGCUGUAGUUGCUUUGGCUACGCAGCCUUUGGGAACAACACACCAGGGAACCUCUUGACUUUGUAAGUGUCUCAAUUACAAUAAACGUAUCACUUCACUAUGCUCAUUUCGUCCGGUUGUCAGAUAACAUUAUAGCCACUGUAGUGAUGCGGUGCCUAACCUGCAAGAGACAGUGUAUGCAAUUCAAGCUGAAUGGUAUAUGCUUCUGUUAAGUUAUUAAUCCCUCCGACAAUUUUUGCAGGGAAAUUCAGAUAUCAAAUUGUUACCACAAAGGAGGAGAAAAAGCACAUUGCCAGACUGGGAUGACCAUUUUCAUGCUGAUUUUUGGCAUUGUUCAGAUAGCAACGUCGCAGAUACCAGAUUUUCACAACAUGGCGUGGUUGUCUGUUGUCGCUGCAUUAAUGUCAUUUUGUUACGCAACCAUCGGAUUGGGCCUUGGAUUUUCUAAUGUGAUUGGUAAAGCCUUGACUCUUCUCUUUCUCCUUCUUGUUUUUUUCAUCUGAAGUUCCAAAAAUAGAUCGAAGAGUCUUGUGUAUUUUGACCUUAGUCCCCAUUGGUGUUGGAUCUGUAGAAAAUAAGAGUAUCAAGGGAAGCAUUGUUGGAAUACCAACAAGGAGUUCUGCUCAGAAGAUAUGGCUAGUUUUCCAGGCACUCGGAGACAUUGCUUUUGCCUAUCCUUAUUCGAUAAUUCUCCUCGAGAUACAGGUAUUUUGUAAUGAUAGUCCACAAAUUUUAUAUGUCUAAUGUAUACUAGUACUUGCAUUUCUUAAUAUAUCAUUAGUGAGAUAUAAAUGGAUCCAUCUCUUAGAAUUUGUCCGGAUACUAGAUCAUCGAAUAUUUAUUUAUAUAGCAGAUACCGACUUGUUUGGGGCUGAGGCAUAGUUGCUGUUGUAUAGUUUUUCUAAAAUUUGCUCAAGAUCAAUUCGGAGCAUAAAUAUCAACCUAGCUAAUGUUUCUGAAACCAAACAAAACGUAAUACUAACAAGCUAGUUGGAAUAUGCAUCACAAAGACUACUGAUGUUUCUGUAAUAAUAACGCUCUUCUUUUUUAUGGAGUGAAGGAUACACUAAAAUCGCCUCCAC